rnacentral:lncRNA from 1 species
AUUAAAAUCUGACCCCUCUCUUCCCAAGUAGCAUAAGAGAUACGAAGCUGAUGGUAAUUAACUUGUACCCCUUGAAGUGAGAAAUUAUACUUUAAUAAAUGUCAUUAUUAUUUUAAAUCUUUUUCUAAUUGUAAAAUGUAAACUCAAAGGAGAUGCCCUAAAAAUUCUUUGGUUUUUCUGGGCUCAUUCCUUGGAGGGUCUUUAUGCUGCUCUCUUGUGAUAUAUCCUUCUCUUAAGAGGGGCAAUGUAAAGUUAUUUACUAUUCUGUUGAACUUGGCUAUCCUUUUUCUCUUUCUGUUCCCCUCAUCCUUCCUCUUAAAAUCAGAUAAUUUGCAAGUACCUUUUGAGUGAAGAAGAGGACCACUUCAGUGAGGAACAGUACUUGGCUGCAGUCAGAAAAUUCACAAGUCAGCUUCUCGAUCAAGGUACCUCUCAAUGUUAUGAUGUAUUAUCUUCUGAUGUGCAGAAAAACGCCUUAGCAGCCUGUGUGAGGCUCGGAGUAGUGGAGAAGAAGAAGAUAAAUAAUAACUGUAUAUUUAAUGUGAAUGAACCUGCCACAACCAAAUUAGAAGAAAUGCUUGGUUGUAAGACACCAAUAGGAAAACCAGCCACU